AGAGUUUGAUUCUGGCUCAGGACGAACGCUGGCGGCGUGCCUAAUACAUGCAAGUCGAGCGAGCUUGGCGACAUCAUUUCCCUGCUUGAGCGGCAUGAAGCUAAAUACCACCGAGCGGAUCACCGCUGAGGAACACGAGGGCUGCCGGACCCAGAAACUGGUAUCACACCUGCACCCCCAUGCGAAUGGCGGAUGACAACACGCCACUCUUGUAUAGAUUCUGAAAGAUGAUGCUGCUAUCUCUCUUGGAUGGACCGGCGAUGCAUCAGCUCACCGGUGAGGCAACGGCUUACCGGUGUAAUGAUACAACCCCCAGUUGAGAAACUGAUCCGCCGCCUUGAGACUGACACACGGCCCAAACUCCUACGGGAGGCAGCAGUACGGAAACUUCCACAAUGGACGAAAGUCUGAUGGAGCAACGCCGCGUGAGUGAAGAAGGGUUUCGGCUCGAAAAGCUCUGUUGGUAGUGAAGAAAGAUAGAGGUAGUAACUGGCCUUUAUUUGACGGUGAUUACUUAGAAAGUCACGGCUAACUACGUGCCAGCAGCCGCGGUAAUACGUAAGUGGCAAGCGUUGUCCGGAUUUAUUGGGCGUAAAGCGAGUGCAGGCGGUUCAAUAAGUCUGAUGUGAAAGCCUUCGGCUCAACCGGAGAAUUGCAUCAGAAACUGUUGAACUUGAGUGCAGAAGAGGAGAGUGGAACUCCAUGUGUAGCGGUGGAAUGCGUAGAUAUAUGUAAGAACACCAGUGGGGAAGGCGGCUCUCCGGUCUGCAACUCACGGUGAGGCUGGAAAGCAUGGGUAGCGAACAGGAUUAGAUACCCUGGUAGUCCAUCCCGUAAA
rnacentral:rRNA from 1 species